GGAAGGAUCAUUAACACGUAUCCAACGUUAAAACCCCCCGUGAAUAUUAAUCGUGCUCUUGCAGCCUCCCAACAAAGCAAUCUCUGGUAAAUCACGUCGAACGGUUUGAUUCAGAGACCUCUGGGUUGGUGAUGACAGCUUUUGCGAUUGCUGCAAUCGAGCGCUAGGAUCAGUGGUUUGGUUUCCCCUCAAACCACUUCAAUGAAUGUCAGUGUCAUUGAAGUGUGAUGGGGAGGUCGCAUAACGCACGCUGUAGGCCCACAGGCCGGCGUCCAAAUCACCGGGCGCAAGCCCCCCUAAAACCACAUGUCAGCGUAGGCCCUUCUGUCGUGGUUGGGUGUAAAAACGAACAACUGUUAACAAUGGAUAUCUUGGUUCUCGCAACGAUGAAGAACGCAGCGAAAUGCGAUGCGUAAUGCGAAUUGCAGAAUUCAGUGAAUCAUCGAAUCUUUGAACGCAAAUUGCGCUCUCGGGUUACCCCCAAGAGCACACCUCUCUGAGUGUCGGUUUAACCAAAUGUCACCAAUUUAUUGGUGUACGACAGACUGAGGGUAAGGGGUUUCGGCCUCUUUCCCUUUAAAACUCAGCCGCACGACUGUGUGUGUUCGUGGCAAGUUGCUUUCACUUAAUUGUGAAUCCAAUCCACAAACCCUAUGUCACGUAGCCAAAGAAACAAAUGAACAAAAUUGUUGACUUGAGAAGCUUGCUUCGAGAGUUGAUGGUCUUGGGCAUCUAUGAAUUAGACCUCAGAUGAAGUGGGAAGACCCCCUGAAUUUAAGCAUAUUAUUAAGGGGAGGAAAAGAAACUAACAAGGAUUCCCCUAGUAACGGCGAGUGAAGCGGGAAGAGCUCAAAUUUAAAAUCCGCUGGUCUAACCGCCUGUGGAGUUGUAAUCUAGAGAGGCUCUCUCAGUGCCAGCCUGGUUAUAAAGUCCCUUGAAACGGGGCAUCAAAGAGGGUGAGAAUCCCGUAUUUGAGCCGGAGCUAAGUACGUACGAGGAGCUUUCCAAGAGUCGCGUUGCUUGGGAGUGCAGCGCUAAAUGGGUGGUAAAGUUCAUCUAAAGCUAAAUACUGGCGAGAGACCGAUAGCGAACAAGUACCGUGAGGGAAAGAUGAAAAGAACUUUGAAAAGAGAGUUAAAAAGUACUUGAAACUUCAUUCGCUUUUCCUUCGGGAGGGGUUACUUGAGGCUAAGAAGGGUGCACCACUUAGUGGUCUCGCAGAAACUGCGUGAGUUGGUGCAUUUCUUCGGAUUUGUUUAACUUGCGCGAUCUACGUUGUCGCUGGUGAGGAGUGAUAACCCCCCGCUUUCGGGCGUCGGUACUCUGAGGUCUGUUUGCCCUAGCGCGUGAGAGAACAAAGUUCUGUCUGUGCGAAAGGUAAAUACUGCCUUGGAUGUGCCAGAUGGUGGGUUCGCGGUGCAGACGAAAUGGUUGUCUUCCACCCGUCUUGAACACGGACCAAGGAGUCUAACAUAUACGCGAGUAUUUUGAUGCGUAAUGAAAGUAAAGAGCCGCAAGGCUUGAGGUAGGAAUCCUGCCCUCGGGUGGGAGGCACUAUCGACCGAUCGUUCGCUUGCGGAAGAUUUGAGUAAUAGCAUAUCUGUUGGGACCCGAAAGAUGGUGAUCUAUGCCUGAACAGGGUGAAGCCAGGGGAAACUCUGGUGGAAGCUCGUAGCGAUACUGACGUGCAAAUCGUUCGUCUGAUUUGGGUAUAGGGGCGAAAGACUAAUCGAACCAUCUAGUAGCUGGUUCCCUC
rnacentral:misc_RNA from 1 species